rnacentral:rRNA from 1 species
GACGAACCGGACAAACGUUAUUCGGAAUCAUUGGGCUUAAAGGGUGCGUAGGCGGUGCUGUAAGUCGGGUGUGAAAUGCCUCAGCUCAACUGAGGAAUUGCGCCCGAUACUGCGGUGCUUGAGGGAGACAGAGGUAAGCGGAACUGAUGGUGGAGCGGUGAAAUGCGUUGAUAUCAUCAGGAACACCAGUGGCGAAAGCGGCUCACUGGACCAUAACUGACGCUGAUGCGCGAAAGCUAGGGGAGCAAACAGG